rnacentral:rRNA from 1 species
UACGGAGGGAGCUAGCGUUGUUCGGAAUUACUGGGCGUAAAGCGCGCGUAGGCGGCUUUGUAAGUUAGAGGUGAAAGCCCGGGGCUCAACCCCGGAAUUGCCUUUAAGACUGCAUCGCUUGAAUCCGGGAGAGGUGAGUGGAAUUCCGAGUGUAGAGGUGAAAUUCGUAGAUAUUCGGAAGAACACCAGUGGCGAAGGCGGCUCACUGGACCGGCAUUGACGCUGAGGAGCGAAGCGUGGGAG